GUUUCACACCGAAAAAUCCACUGGUUUGAGGAGAGUUUGCUCCAAAAAUCGACGGUUUUCCUGUAGUUUUAGCGGGGAUUUCUGCUUGUUUGGGUGCAUUUCCAGGAGG
rnacentral:sRNA from 1 species